rnacentral:rRNA from 1 species
CCUACGGGAGGCAGCAGUGGGGAAUAUUGGGCAAUGGGCGCAAGCCUGACCCAGCAACGCCGCGUGAAGGAAGAAGGCUUUCGGGCUGUAAACUUCUUUUAAGAGGGAAGAGCAGAAGACGGUACCUCUUGAAUAAGCAUCGGCUAACUCCGUGCCAGCAGCCGCGGUAAUACGGAGGAUGCGAGCGUUAUCCGGAUUUAUUGGGUUUAAAGGGUGCGUAGGCGGGCUGUUAAGUCAGCGGUAAAAGCCCGGGGCUCAACCCCGGCGAGCCGUUGAAACUGGCUGUCUUGAGAUGUCGAGAGGUA